rnacentral:rRNA from 1 species
UACGGGGGGUGCGAGCGUUGUCCGGAAUCACUGGGCGUAAAGGGCGCGUAGGUGGCAUGAUAAGGGUGUGGUGAAAGCCCGGGGCUCAACCCCGGGUCGGCCAUGCCGACUGUCAAGCUGGAGUACUGUAGGGGCAGGUGGAAUUCCUGGUGUAGCGGUGAAAUGCGCAGAUAUCAGGAAGAACACCCGUGGCGAAGGCGGCUCUCUGGGACGGUACUGACGCUGAGACGCGAAAGCGUGGGGAGCGAACAGG